UAUCUCUAGUGUUGAACCUACACUGGGUUAGAGCACACCAGAUUUGCAGAAAAAGCAUGCUCCAGAGGAAGCUGAGGCAUGGCUGCUUGAGAUCCAAUGGUUCCAUGUGCAAUUUUCCUCUGAUAGGUCCUGAGUACUGUUGCCAUGGCAAUAGCGGCUGUGCCGUGUCAUUAUUGAUCCACCAAUAGUCAGAGAAGCUUUGCAGGAUAUUGUUCAGCAGACAGAGUGGUUUCUGAUGGAUGCUAAUUACUGCUGCUACA